GCACUGGUUAGCACGUCAGCCGCACAGUUAGGAGGGUGCCGGUUUGAUUCCAACUCCGGCCCUCCCUAUGUGGAGUUUGCAUGUUCUCCCCGUGCCUGCGUACGUUUUCUCCGGGCACCACGGUUUCCUCC